rnacentral:rRNA from 1 species
GGUGACCAGCGGAGGGAUCAUUACCGAGUUUACAACUCCCAAACCCCUGUGAACAUACCACUUGUUGCCUCGGCGGAUCAGCCCGCUCCCGGUAAAACGGGACGGCCCGCCAGAGGACCCCUAAACUCUGUUUCUAUAUGUAACUUCUGAGUAAAACCAUAAAUAAAUCAAAACUUUCAACAACGGAUCUCUUGGUUCUGGCAUCGAUGAAGAACGCAGCAAAAUGCGAUAAGUAAUGUGAAUUGCAGAAUUCAGUGAAUCAUCGAAUCUUUGAACGCACAUUGCGCCCGCCAGUAUUCUGGCGGGCAUGCCUGUUCGAGCGUCAUUUCAACCCUCAAGCACAGCUUGGUGUUGGGACUCGCGUUAAUUCGCGUUCCUCAAAUUGAUUGGCGGUCACGUCGAGCUUCCAUAGCGUAGUAGUAAAACCCUCGUUACUGGUAAUCGUCGCGGCCACGCCGUUAAACCCCAACUUCUGAAUGUUGACCUCGGAUCAGGUAGGAAUACCCGCUGAACUUAAGCAU